UGGGGAAUAUUGCACAAUGGGCGCAAGCCUGAUGCAGCCAUGCCGCGUGUGUUAAGAAGGCCUUCGGGUUGUAAAUCACUUUCAGCGGGGAGGAAGGCGUUAAUGUUAAUAACCUUGGCGAUUGACGUUACCGACAGAAGAAGCACCGGCUAACUCCGUGCCAGCAGCCGCGGUAAUACGGAGGGUGCAAGCGUUAAUCGGAAUUACUGGGCGUAAAGCGCACGCAGGCGGUUGAUUGAGUCAGAUGUGAAAUCCCCGGGCUUAACACGGGAAUUGCAUCUGAGACUGGUCAGCUAGAGUCUUGUAGAGGGGGGUAGAAUUCCAUGUGUAGCGGUGAAAUGCGUAGAGAUGUGGAGGAAUACCGGUGGCGAAGGCGGCCCCCUGGACAAAGACUGACGCUCAGGUGCGAAAGCGUGGGGAGCAAACAGG
rnacentral:rRNA from 1 species